GUCCACGCCCUAAACGAUGGAUGCUCGAUGUCGGCCCGCAAGGGUCGGUGUCUAAGCUAACGCAUUAAGCAUCCCACCUGGGAAGUACGAUCGCAAGGUUGAAACUCAAAGGAAUUGACGGGGGCCCGCACAAGCAGUGGAGCAUGUGGUUUAAUUCGAUGCAACGCGAAGAACCUUACCUGGGUUUGAAAGGCAAGUGACAGGCGAUGAAAGUCGCUCUCCCCGCAAGGGGCACUUGUACAGGUGCUGCAUGGCUGUCGU
rnacentral:rRNA from 1 species